UCCCUGGUGGCUUAGUGGUAAAGAAUCUGCCUGUCAUACAGGAGACUCAGGUUCAAUCCCUGGGUUGGGAA
rnacentral:tRNA from 1 species